rnacentral:rRNA from 1 species
GUGCCAGCCGCCGCGGUAAUACGUAGGGGGCCAGCGCUGUUCGGAAUUACUGGGUGUAAGGGUUCGUAGGCGGUGCGGCAAGUUGGGAGUGAAAUCUCUGGGCUCAACCCAGAGCCGGCUUCCAAAACUGCUGUGCUUGAGUGUGAGAGAGGCUCGUGGAAUUGCAGGUGUAGCGGUGAAAUGCGUAGAUAUCUGCAGGAACACCCGUGGCGAAAGCGGCGAGCUGGAUCACUACUGACGCUGAGGGACGAAAGCUAGGGGAGCAAACAGGAUUAGAUACCCUAGUAGUCC